rfam:Canis lupus familiaris chromosome 18, whole genome shotgun sequence.
GCCUGGCUGGCUCUGUUGGUAGAGCAUGUGACUUUUGAUCUUGGGGCUGUGAGUUCAAGCCCCAUGUUGGAUG